rnacentral:tRNA from 1 species
AAUCUUAUAAUUUAAAUAAAAAUAUUAAAUUGCAAAUUUAAAAAUAAAUUAAUUUUAAGAUUU